rnacentral:rRNA from 1 species
GCAAGUUCGUCGGGAAAUCUGCGCGCUUAACGCGCAGGCGUCCGACGGAAACUGUGUGGCUUGGGACCGGAAGACCAGAGGGGUACGUCCGGGGUAGGAGUGAAAUCCCGUAAUCCUGGACGGACCACCGGUGGCGAAAGCGCCUCUGGAAGACGGAUCCGACGGUGAGGGACGAAAGCUCGGGUCACGAACCGGAUUAGAUACCCGGGUAGUCCGAGCUGUAAACGAUGUCUGCUAGGUGUGGCACAGGCUACGAGCCUGUGCUGUGCCGUAGGGAAGCCGUGAAGCAGACCGCCUGGGAAGUACGUCCGCAAGGAUGAAACUUAAAGGAAUUGGCGGGGGAGCACUACAACCGGAGGAGCCUGCGGUUUAAUUGGACUCAACGCCGGACAUCUCACCAGCAUCGACAACGUGCGGUGAAGGUCAGGUUGAUGACCUUACUGGAGCCGUUGAGAGGAGGUGCAUGGCCGCCGUCAGCUCGUACCGUGAGGCGUCCUGUUAAGUCAGGCAACGAGCGAGACCCGCACUCCUAAUUGCCAGCAACACCCUUGUGGUGGUUGGGUACAUUAGGAGGACUGCCAGUGCCAAACUGGAGGAAGGAACGGGCAACGGUAGGUCAGUAUGCCCCGAAUGUGCUGGGCGACACGCGGGCUACAAUGG